AAAAAAAUGAGUAGCCGGUCCAGUCGCACCAUCUAUGUUGGCAAUCUUCCUGGUGAUAUUCGCUUGAGAGAAGUUGAGGAUCUUUUUUACAAGUAUGGUCCCAUCGUUGACAUCGAUUUAAAAAUCCCUCCAAGACCACCUGGUUAUGCUUUUGUCGAGUUUGAAGAUCCUCGGGACGCUGACGAUGCAAUUCAUUAUCGAGAUGGAUAUAAUUUUGAUGGUUUUCGUUUGCGGGUUGAGCUCGCGCAUGGUGGGCGGAGGUCUUCAUCAUCAGCUGAUCGCUACAGUACUUAUAGUUCUAGAGGUGGUAGCAAUGGAGUUUCCAGGCGCUCUGACUAUCGCGUUAUGGUCACUGGGUUGCCUCCAUCGGCUUCUUGGCAAGACUUGAAGGAUCACAUGCGUAGGGCUGGUGAUGUGUGUUUCUCUCAAGUCUUCCGUGAACGUGGUGGCAUGACUGGGAUAGUAGAUUAUACAAACUAUGAUGAUAUGAAGUAUGCUAUUAGGAAGCUUGAUGACUCAGAAUUCCGCAAUGCCUUCUCUCGUGCAUACAUACGGGUGAGGGAAUAUGAUCGGCGGAGUUAUUCUAGGAGUCCUAGCCGUGAUUCAAGGAGAAGCUACUCCAGAAGUCGCAGCCGCAGUCCUUACAUGGAACGAAGUCGAAGUCCUAGCUACAGUGACAGGAGUCGAAGCUCGUCUCCAAAGGCAAAACGUUCAUGGCGAUCAUUAUCAAGGCUGAAGUUUCUUAAUCAAAGAUGGGAUGCAGCAUGGCAGGCAGAAUCGUGAAGUACUCUCCCUAAUCUUUUUUAACGUAUUUACCUCCUUUGAUCUAUUUUAUUUUAUUUAAUUUUUUUUGGGGCGCAUAGCUGAGCCAUGUUGCUGCUCUUGUAAGUGGACGGACUUACAUGAACAUUUUUGUGCCGGCUAGGAAUGUUUGGUCGCUCUAAUCAUUGUUUGGCUAUUUGAUGUUGUACUGUGUCAAUCUUUUUGAUAGAAGAUUAACAGUCUGAAGUGCUGUGAUUGGAACUUUGCUAUUAUGUGUCCCCACCCCAUUAAGGAGAUUCGUACAAAGGUCUUUUAUGGCUUUAUUCAUACGAUCAAGGGUUUUACUUAUACUAUUGUCGUUAUUAAUAUAGCAUGUGUGGGUCUCCCCUUCUUUCUUUAAGUCGAAGUUGAGGGAAUAUUUCAUUUCCCUGUAAUUGUCUGAAAGUCGAUACUGUAAUUCCAUCCAUCCUUUCUAUCUCAUAAAACGUAGUGUUGUCCCAUGGGCAUGUUUGCACAAUUCUUCAUAUGUGCAAAGGUGAUCGGGGGAUUGUAGGGGGUCACAGGUUGAGCGCAAGCUAUACAAUGUUCAAUAGGGUUGACUUGUUUGUUUUCUAGAUGUGGAAUUUUACAGCGACCUGGGGACUGCAUGUUAGGAUCUUGAUGGCAUGUGGUGCUCAAAUGCCUGCAACUUUUUGGUCGAGGCACGGUGUGCCACUGUUGUAGACUGGAUGACUGUAGAUGGAUGAAUUGCAAUCUAAAAGGUGGAUCCCUGUGAACUAAGUGCUAGUGGUACCAUCCAUAGCAAAUCAGCAUUCUUUCAAUCCAAAAACUGCUUCAAUGCAACCUGCGCUCUAAGUUCUUGGAUUGAUCUUGUCCUUUCUCUAGGAUUUCUCUUAUUGUGCUGGCUUUGUUUAUAUACCUGCUCCUUACUGAGGAAUCAUGCGCUGCUGGGAAUGAAUUGUGUAGCAAUUGUUGAGACUAUAAAUAAGAGAUACUGUGCUCAAAUACUUUUUCCCUUGGCUGCUGCGUAAGACCCGUGCUAGAUCAAUUUCUUUCCCUUGGUCAUGGAUUCUGAUGUGAAACUGGUAGUGGGCUUGAGGAAUAAACAUUUUGGUGGGUUAUUCUGGAUAUUAAGCGGAUUUGUUUGUUCAAAAUUUUGCAGAUCUCUGUCAAGAUCCAGAUCUCCAAAUUCAUCUUCUCCGCGUCACAGGAGUCGCACUUUGAGCAGAAGUCCUAGAAGCUCAUCAAAAUCUCGUUCACCUUCAGUGAGAUCUGAGCGUAGCAGAUCUGUUGAAUCUGGAGAUCGUUGAUACAUUAAUGAGCAUACUCACUGUAAUGCUUCCGUUAAUUGAUAGGCGGGAACACUAUACCUGAGAUUCUUUUGUAGAAUCCAUUGGUUGUAACGCACAAUAUUGAUUAGUGAAAUAGAAACAUCAGAGGACACUCGAUAGGCUCCGUUUCUGAUGCCAUGAUUGGUCUAGUUUUUGUGCUGCGAUGCUUAGUAUCUACGCUCUGGAUUUUCGUAUUAUUUGUGUAUGGGAUUCAAUGCAGACUGUGAAGAUCUGGGUAAAGGUGUGCAAUGUGAU